UGGCUUAGAAGCAGCCAUCAUUUAAAGAAAGCGUAAUAGCUCACUGGUCGAGUCGGCCUGCGCGGAAGAUGUAACGGGGCUAAACCAUGCACCGAAGCUGCGGCAGCGACGUUUAGGCGUUGUUGGGUAGGGGAGCGUUCUGUAAGCCGUUGAAGGUGGCCUGUGAGGGUUGCUGGAGGUAUCAGAAGUGCGAAUGCUGACAUAAGUAACGAUAAAGCGGGUGAAAAGCCCGCUCGCCGGAAGACCAAGGGUUCCUGUCCAACGUUAAUCGGGGCAGGGUGAGUCGACCCCUAAGGCGAGGCUGAAAAGCGUAGUCGAUGGGAAACAGGUUAAUAUUCCUGUACUUGGUGUUACUGCGAAGGGGGGACGGAGAAGGCUAGGCUAGCCGGGCGACGGUUGUCCCGGUUUAAGCGUGUAGGGGGUGUGACCUGGUAAAUCCGGUUGCAUAUCAACCCUGAGGCGUGAUGACGAUGCACUACGGUGCAGAAGUAGUUGAUGCCCUGCUUCCAGGAAAAGCCUCUAAGCUCUAGGUAACAUUAAAUCGUACCCCAAACCGACACAGGUGGUCAGGUAGAGAAUACCAAGGCGCUUGAGAGAACUCGGGUGAAGGAACUAGGCAAAAUGGUGCCGUAACUUCGGGAGAAGGCACG
rnacentral:rRNA from 1 species